rnacentral:rRNA from 1 species
UACGUAGGGGGCGAGCGUUGUCCGGAAUUACUGGGCGUAAAGGGCGCGCAGGCGGAUAUGCAAGUCUGCUGUGUAAUGUCACGGCUCAACCGUGUCAUUGCGGUGGAAACUGCAUAUCUGGAGUACUGGAGAGGGGAGUGGAAUUCCCGGUGUAGCGGGUGAAAUGCGUAGAAUAUCGGGAGGAACACCAGUGGCGAAGGCGGCUCUCUGGCCAGUUACUGACGCUACAUGCGCGAAAGCUUGGGGGAGUCGAACCGGAUUAGAUACCCCGGUAGU